rnacentral:rRNA from 1 species
UACGAAGGGGGGGCUAGCGUUGUUCGGAAUUACUGGGGCGUAAAAGCGCACGUAGGCGGCUUUUGUAAGUUAGAGGUGAAAGCCCCGGGGGCUCAACCCCCGGAAUUGCCUUUUAAGACUGCAUCGCUUUGAAUCCGGGGAGAGGGUGAGUGGGAAUUUCCCGAGUGUAGAGGGUGAAAAUUUCGUAGAUAUUCGGAAGAACACCAGUGGCGAAGGCGGCUCACUGGGACCGGUAUUGACGCUGAGGUGCGAAAAGCGUGGGGGAGCAAACAGG